CGCGAAUGGCUCAUUACAACAGCUAAAAUCUACUUGAUCUUGACACAAUCCUACUUGGAUAACUGUGGUAAUUCUAGAGCUAAUACAUGCAUUAAAGCUCUGACCUCACGGGAAGAGUGCAUUUAUUAGAACAAAACCAAGCGGCUUCGGCUGUUUCUGGUUGACUCAUAGUAACUGAGCUGAUCGCAUGGUCUUGCACCGGCGACGUGUCUUUCAAGUAUCUGCCGUAUCAACUUUCGAUGGUAGUGUAUCUGACUACCAUGGUGAUCACGCGUAACGGAGAAUAAGGGUUCGGCUCCGGAGAGUUCGCCUGAGAAAUCGCGAACACAUCUAAGGAAGGCAGCAGGCGCGAAAAUUACCCACUCUCAGCACGAGGAGGUAGUGACGAAAAAUAACAAGGCUGAUCGCUUUGCGAGCAGCUAUUGGAAUGGGUACAAUUUAAACCCUUUAACGAGGACCUAUGAGAGGGCAAGUCUGGUGCCAGCAGCCGCGGUAAUUCCAGCU
rnacentral:rRNA from 1 species